GGUGAACGCUGGCGGCAGGCCUAACACAUGCAAGUCGAACGGCAGCACAGCAGUAGCAAUACUGUGGGUGGCGAGUGGCGGACGGGUGAGGAACACAUCGGAAUCUACCCUGUCGUGGGGGAUAACGUAGGGAAACUUACGCUAAUACCGCAUACGACCUAUGGGUGAAAGCGGCGGACCGCAAGGCGUCGCGCGACUGGAUGAGCCGAUGUCCGAUUAGCUAGUUGGCGGGGUAAUGGCCCACCAAGGCGACGAUCGGUAGCUGGUCUGAGAGGAUGAUCAGCCACACUGGGAACUGAGACACGGGUCCAGACUCCUACGGGAGGCAGCAGUGGGGAAUAUUGGGACAAUGGGCGCAAGCCUGAUCCAGCCAUGCCGCGUGUGUGAAGAAGGG
rnacentral:rRNA from 1 species